rnacentral:rRNA from 1 species
GAUGAACGCUGGCGGCGUGCCUAAUACAUGCAAGUCGAGCGAACAGACGAGGAGCUUGCUCCUCUGACGUUAGCGGCGGAGGGGUGAGUAACACGUGGAUAACCUACCUAUAAGACUGGGAUAACUUCGGGAAACCGGAGCUAAUACCGGAUAAUAUAUUGAACCGCAUGGUUCAAUAGUGAAAGACGGUUUUGCUGUCACUUAUAGAUGGAUCCGCGCCGCAUUAGCUAGUUGGUAAGGUAACGGCUUACCAAGGCGACGAUGCGUAGCCGACCUGAGAGGGUGAUCGGCCACACUGGAACUGAGACACGGUCCAGACUCCUACGGGAGGCAGCAGUAGGGAAUCUUCCGCAAUGGGCGAAAGCCUGACGGAGCAACGCCGCGUGAGUGAUGAAGGUCUUCGGAUCGUAAAACUCUGUUAUUAGGGAAGAACAAAUGUGUAAGUAACUAUGCACGUCUUGACGGUACCUAAUCAGAAAGCCACGGCUAACUACGUGC